rnacentral:miRNA from 1 species
CCUGAGAGUGAGUACCUCCUGA